rnacentral:rRNA from 1 species
UACGUAGGGUGCGAGCGUUGUCCGGAAUUAUUGGGCGUAAAGGGCUCGUAGGCGGUUUGUCGCGUCGGGAGCGAAAACCUUGGGCUUAACUCAGGGCUUGCUUUCGAUACGGGCAGACUAGAGGUAUGCAGGGGAGAACGGAAUUCCUGGUGUAGCGGUGAAAUGCGCAGAUAUCAGGAGGAACACCGGUGGCGAAGGCGGGUCUCUGGGCCGAUACUGACGCUGAGGAGCGAAAGCGUGGGGAGCGAACAGG